UAAGAGAUUACAGGAUGUCGUAUUGAAUGA
rnacentral:piRNA from 1 species